rnacentral:rRNA from 1 species
AGAGUUUGAUCCUGGCUCAGGACGAACGCUGGCGGCGUGCUUAACACAUGCAAGUCGAACGGUGAAGUCCCUCCGGGGAUGGAUCAGUGGCGAACGGGUGAGUAACACGUGGGCAAUCUGCCCCUCACUGUGGGAUAACUCCGGGAAACCGGGGCUAAUACCGCAUAUGAAGCCUGGCGGCAUCGCCGGGUUUGGAAAGUUUUUCGGUGAGGGAUGAGCCCGCGGCCUAUCAGCUUGUUGGUGAGGUAAUGGCUCACCAAGGCGACGACGGGUAGCCGGCCUGAGAGGGCGACCGGCCACACUGGGACUGAGACACGGCCCAGACUCCUACGGGAGGCAGCAGUGGGGAAUAUUGGGCAAUGGGCGAAAGCCUGACCCAGCGACGCCGCGUGCGGGAUGAAGGCCUUCGGGUUGUAAACCGCUUUCAGCAGGGAAGAA